rnacentral:rRNA from 1 species
UUACGGGAGGCAGCAGUGGGGAAUUUUGCGCAAUGGACGAAAGUCUGACGCAGCAACGCCGCGUGGGUGAUGAAGGUCUUCGGAUUGUAAAACCCUGUCGUCGAGGACGAAGGUGAGGGCGUUAAUAGCGUCUUUGCUUGACGGUACUCGGAGAGGAAGCCCCGGCUAACUCUGUGCCAGCAGCCGCGGUAAUACAGAGGGGGCAAGCGUUAUUCGGAAUUAUUGGGCGUAAAGGGCGCGUAGGCGGUUUUUUAAGUCGGAUGUGUAAUCCCCGGGCUUAACCUGGGAACUGCAUCCGAGACUGGGAGACUAGAGUACUGGAGAGGGUGGUGGAAUUCCUCGUGUAGCGGUGAAAUGCGUAGAGAUGAGGAGGAACACCAGUGGCGAAGGCGGCCACCUGGACAGUAACUGACGCUGAGGCGCGAAAGUGUGGGUAGCAAACAGGAUUAGAUACCCUGGU